AGGUCUCAUUCAGGAGCUACAUAUAUAUUUCGAAUUUCUUGAUCACCCAAUUCUAGGUUGGGAAGUUGCUAGAUAUAUAAGUUCAAGAAAUUAAGUUGGGGAUUGCACGGAGAAGGUGAUGAAUGCACGCCUUCCUUCUUGUCAACAUGAAGCUGCAGCCAUAAAGGAAAUAUCGAGAGCACUUGAACUCAUCUCUCAUCUAGAAGCUCAUCUAUGUCCAUUAAUAUUAGCCAAGAAGGGGAUGGAGCUAGCAAACAACAUAUUUCAAGAGAUCACGAGCUCACUCUUGGAAUCUAGCACUAUCCUUGAUCCUGGUGCUGCUGCUCAAGUUGCUUCAAAGAAGGUGAAAACGAUUAAUCAUGAAGAUGGGACUACUGUCAAGAAAAAAAGGCAUAAGGAUUUAGUUACAUUUCUUACAACUGAACCAUUCUUUGAUGGGUAUCAGUGGAGGAAGUAUGGACAGAAGGAUAGAAAAAACUCUAUGUUUCAAAGGUACAAAUGCUAAACUUGGUGAAUAGUGAUCAUUUGUUCGAGAUAAAUUUUUGCAACAGAACAUACUACAAAUGCUUAAAUGAAAAAUGCCAAGCAACAAAAACAGUUCAACAAGAAGAUCAUCAUGAGCCUCCAAACAUCCUGGUCACAUAUGGCAUGCAACAUACUUGCGAUUUAGCAGAAUUCACCCAAAAGUUCAGAAUGGAUUCUUCGACUUCAACACGAGCUUUUGGCCCCAUUGUGGAAUCAAACUCUUUCAUAGUGAAGAACAAUUAACAACCAGGAAGAAGAAGAAGAAGAAGAAGAAGAAGAAAAAGUUCAUCUCCAACAUCUUGCUUCCAAAUUAACAACAUAUUGGACAAAUAAUAUUAUAACCCACAGGGGUUGAUAGUAGUAGUGAUAACAUGGCAGGAAUACUCUCAUGUUUUUGUCCUUUAUUUUGUAAUGAGGAGGAGGUUGGAUGGUUGAUUGAAGCCUUUAAAUGUCAUGAAGAUGGCUUUCACAUUUGAUCUAAGUUAGGAAUGCAUGUUUCACAUGCUUAUGGUUGUUGAACGUUUGACAGGGCUUUUAUUUUUUCUUCUUUAUUUAAACGUGAGGAUG